CCUGUUACAGCCCAUCGAAAGGCCUGCUCGAUGGAUGACAAAACAUCCUAAUCGCCUGUAAUCCUCUCGCCUCUCCUGGCAGUUGCCACAUCGCGAGGAAUCGAAGUCUCUGCGACGCAUCUAAGCUCCGUCUAGGCGCCGCCAGCAGCGCCUCGCCGCUCGUCUUCAAGUCUUCGUCAAUUGUCCAUCUAAAGAAUCUGGAAUGGCGUCUAGGUUGAACAUUUAAUCCUCUGUCGCUCGUUCUGGGACCGGGUCUAGGAGUAACACCGCUGAUGAUUCAGAUCACCAUGAAUGAAAGUCUAUUUUCUCAUCCUCAAGGCUUCCCGGUGAUAUUCGUUCAAUAGGAGACAUUCUCGUCGACUACAAGCCGUCUAUGAUGACUUUGGAUGUAGAUUUAAUUAUUUCUGGUGUUCAAUGAUUGAACAUUGAUAGAUUGAGAGUUUUUCCGUAAAAAGAAAUAACCGAGCUACCCAACACAUGAUCAUUCUGUAAUUGCCAAGUGUAAUCUCUCAGCCCAGUAGUAAGUGCGCGAUAUACUCAUGCUCAACUUUCGGCGCCCAGGCACGGCCGCUUGGCUCUGGUGCAGAGUGUGCGACGCGCCGACGGCAAACCAGCCACGCCACACAUGCGGCCUCUUUCCAGUGAGGCGGCGAGGUGGCGACACCACACAUGCCGAUAUACGGACUGCGAUUCGACGGCGAAGGGCAGAAGCAACAUGGCGAGUCGGCGACAACAAAUGGAGCGCGCCGUACAUGGUAUCUAUCCCUCUCCUAUGUAUGUCCAGACGUUAUGCAUAUCGAUAGUCACUUUUAAAACAGCAGGAAUAAGAAUGUUCCGUAUGCUAACAAACUACAAGGACCAACGGGUGCUUUCGCCGGGGUCGAUGCCGGGAAGGACGCCAGAUAUUCAUGGAUGCUGAUCGUGGUCCAGAGACUGUUGGCUGUUGCUCGUUCGUUUUCAGCUUCCUGUCCUAUGCUGAAACCUCAUCUCGGUGGCUGUGCUUGACUCGGGGCUUAGAUUUCGGUG